rnacentral:rRNA from 1 species
UACGAAGGGGGCUAGCGUUGUUCGGAAUUACUGGGCGUAAAGGGCGCGUAGGCGGUGUGUCAAGUCAGGCGUGCAAAGCCCCGGGCUCAACCUGGGAACCGCGCUUGAGACUGGCACGCUCGAGUUCGGGAGAGGAUGGUGGAAUUCCCAGUGUAGAGGUGAAAUUCGGUAGAUAUUGGGAAGAACACCGAUGGCGAAGGCAGCCAUCUGGACCGACACUGACGCUGAGGCGCGGAAAGCUAGGGGAGCAAACAGG